CUGAAAUCUAUAUAAUUCUUGCCAGAAAGGCUCUGAAACCUUGAGUAAGACCUGUUUAGGUAUUUUAUAAGCUAAAUUACCAUUAAUUUAAUGCUAAUAAUGUAAAUAUAUAGUAAACUAGUUGUAAUGCCUAAAAACAUGAGAUGUUAAAUUCAUAUGAAGUCAUGGAACUCAAAAAUUGCUUAAUAAUUUAAUAAUCUACCUGAAGAAUUAUAUAAUAAACUCCAUGAAGAAACCGCACAGACAUAACCUCAAAAAUAUAUGCCAUAUACAAUAAACUAGUUUUAAUGGCCAAAUAUUUUGGUUGUAUUAUAUGCAGUUAAGUUCAUAGCAAGUAAUGACACUCACAGAUUCAUUUAUAAUUCAAUCAGAACACCAAACAUCAAGCUAAAUAUAUAAUAAAGGAGCUCUAAUAUUUUGGUUGAAUUGCAGUAAAAAUGUGUAUAUUGCUGCACAGCAACCCUGAAGAUGAUACUAAUUAAUGUACAAAGGAAUACAGGUUUAUAUGGAAGUUUAUAUAAAACCUUAGACUAUUCCCUGACAAGUUGUUUAAGGAACAGUAAAAGAAUGUUCUGAGCUUUAAGGAAAUUGUUCCUGGAAUGUUUGUUUACGGAUAUCCUUGGUAUCAUUGCUAUUGACAAUCCCUGAAUAGACCAGGAGUGUUUAUUUUUCUCAAUACACACUUUGAACAUAUUAUACAGAAAAUCUGACGCCACUGAGUCAUACAAACAGGGGAAAAGUCACUUUUUUAACUAAGUACUUUCUUAGCAGAUAACAGUGGUAGUACAUAUGACAUCAUUCCUUUAUUCCAGGAAUAUUUAAAUUGCUUCUGACACAGAUCAUACCCUAAAUGAUCAAAAUAUUCGCUUAUAAAGCAAUUUCGGGAAAACUCCUUCCUUAAAUCAGAAGAAAUUUAUAAUUUUUUUUGUCUAUCCCCUAAUAACAAAUUGUUUAAGGAACAUUAACAGAAUGUUCUGAGCCUUGUAGAAAUUGUUAUUGGAAUGUUUCUUUCAGAAUAAACUUGGAAUCUUAGUUUAGGAGGUAACAGUGAUGACCUAGAACAUGACAUUCAAUGAUCCUGGAUAAUUCAUGAGAUAAAUUGUGCUAUAAGGGUUAGUAUCAUUAGAACAAUGAUACAUGCAUAUAUUGUUCAAAAAAAGGAAGACUUAAUAUAAUUAAAUUAAGUUAAACAUUUUUGGCGCCCAACAUAAAACUUUUGGCACCCAAUAACUAACUUCAGAGGAAAAUCUACAUGAUCAGUGGGUUAUGCAAAAACGAUUUGUCUCCAUAAAUCGCUACAGUAACUAUUCCUCCACCAAAUAAAACGGUUUAUAGUGCCUGGACUUACAUUGUAA